rnacentral:rRNA from 1 species
UACGUAGGGACCAAGCGUUGUUCGGAUUUACUGGGCGUAAAGGGCGCGCAGGCGGCGGUUGCAGGCCCGGCGUGAAAGCCCCCGGCUCAACCGGGGAGGGUCGUCGGGGACCGCACCGCUUGAGGGCGGUAGGGGCUGGUGGAAUGCCUGGUGUAGUGGUGAAAUGCGUAGAGAUCAGGCGGAACACCCGUGGCGAAGGCGGCCAGCUGGGCCGUCCCUGACGCUGAGGCGCGAAGGCGUGGGGAGCGAACAGG